rnacentral:rRNA from 1 species
GAUGAACGCUGGCGGCGUGCUUAACACAUGCAAGUCGAACGGACUUUUGAUGAAACCUAGUGAUUCAAAAGUUAGUGGCGGACGGGUGAGUAACGCGUGGGUAACCUGCCUCGUACAGGGGGAUAACACUUAGAAAUAGGUGCUAAUACCGCAUAAGCGCACAGCUUCGCAUGAAGCAGUGUGAAAAACUCCGGUGGUACGAGAUGGACCCGCGUCUGAUUAGCUAGUUGGUGAGGUAACGGCCCACCAAGGCGACGAUCAGUAGCCGGCCUGAGAGGGUGAACGGCCACAUUGGGACUGAGACACGGCCCAAACUCCUACGGGAGGCAGCAGUGGGGAAUAUUGGGUCAAUGGUCUGACGACUGAACCAGCGACGCCGCGUGAAGGAAGAAGGUCUUCGGAUUGUAAACUUUUGUCAGCAAGGAAGAAGAAAGUGACAGUACUUGCUAAGGAAGCC